rnacentral:lncRNA from 1 species
AUUAUGUGAGUUUACAAGAAGUAUCAGGCAAUUUGUCAUCUAACUAACUCGAUAAGUUUCAAUAAUGUAAUAGAAGAAAUGAAAAGACUCUAUCCAAUCCAAAUAAUUAGUGGUAUUACUGACAAGUGGGCGGUUACGUGUAAAGUGUAGGGACUAUCAAUAUGGGCGUGGCUACCAAAAGGAGGCGUGGUUUUUAGAGUCAUGGAGUCUCUAGUAAAGGAAUCAUUAAUAGCUUAUGAAGCAAUUAGGGGAGGAGGAGGAGAGAGAGGGAGAAGAAAUGGAGAAUGAGACCCAUACUGACCAUCUUUGAUACUGGAACGAGUUUCAGUCUUUGGUAGCUAAAUUAUCGUUCCUUGGCCUGAGGGACAGGUUCCUAUCUCAUUCUACCAUCCUUGCCAUUGAGAAUAAAGUUAAAGAUUAUGUGACUGAUUGUUGUUCCGACAUAUUUAAUGAGAGUUUGUUGGGCAUGGUCACCAAAGAAACUUCAGGAUUUAUUGAGCGGCUGGCUCAAUGCCAUAUAUGGUGACAUUAGUAAGGAGUGGUCUGGUAGGAUAUUACAUCACAUAUACAAUUGCUAUGGACGAUUGCGGUAUUACAUGUACAUAAUCAGCCUGGUUGAUUUGUGUGAGUGUUUGCAUCACAUUGAUUUGAAAGAAGAGCUCAUGGAUUCAUUAACUAAAGUGUUGGACUCAAAUUUGCAUUUAUGAGAGUAGGUUACUCCACCAUGGUGCUAAUACAUCUGAUAUUAUUACCCAGUACAUCUCUUCAGUUCGUAGUCUAAAGCUACUGGACCCAACUGGUGUUGUAUUAGAAAGAGCAUGUGAACCAGUCAAAGCGUAUCUGAGGACUCAGAGUGAUACAGUGACAUGUAUCAUGGCCAGUUUGAUUGAUGAUAGUAGCAACGAUCUUUCGGAGGAGCUGGCAAAAGGUGAGACUGUGUUGCUUGAUCUUUCAGAUGAGUAUGAUGAUCCUGAUCAGGACUUUGAGGCUUGGGAACCAGAUCCAGUAGAUGCCAACCCUAUGAAGUCAUCAAAAAGUCGGCAAACUUCAGAUAUAAUGAGCUAUAUUAGCGCAUAGAUACUAUAUAUACCAAGUGGAUACGAAACAGGAAGUGGAUUGUACAUGAAAUUAUAUUGGUGACGUCACGAGCAGUAUGCCUAUGCUCUUUUCGCUCUAGCGUAGCCUCUAGUGGCCUUGUUUCUCAAAGUUUUGGGUUCUUGGCCAAGUUACUACUUUGCUGAGUUGAAGUAAGUAUUAUGAAGUCUCUAUUAGCUCGAAUGACCUGCUGAAUCCUUGUUUGCUUGAUCACUGGAUCUCGUUGUGCUGUAAAACAUGGCGGCCUAUAGUUCUGACUUUAAACACCUUUUCUCCAAUCUGGGGCAGAGUUAGUAAGUGUUAUUUGGGUAGAAGAAGGAUAUUAUUGUGUUACAUGGUCUGUAACUACUAGCUUUCUGCUGCAGUUUUAUAAAAUAGAAAUA